rnacentral:rRNA from 1 species
UACGGAGGGUGCAAGCGUUAAUCGGAAUUACUGGGCGUAAAGCGCACGCAGGUGGCUGAGAAAGUCGAUUGUGAAAGCCCUGGGCUUAACCUGGGAAUUGCAGUCGAAACUACUCGGCUAGAGUAUGGGAGAGGGUAGUGGAAUUCCCGGUGUAGCGGUGAAAUGCGUAGAUAUCGGGAGGAACAUCAGUGGCGAAGGCGGCUAACUGGUCCAGCACUGACGCUGAGGUGCGAAAGCGUGGGGAGCAAACAGG